UGAUGAUAGAGGAGUCAGUCAGGGGGAUAGAAAAAUCAGCAAUACGACUCAAACCAGGUCAUGGAGAUUAUUAUAGUAUUGCCUUAGGCCGUCUCCUGUACUCAGGGUCAUCUGGGUCGUAGUUAGAGGAAGACCAUAUAAGGGGGUUGGAGAGUCCAGGCAAUACCUCCUAGAAAGGAAUCAAGCCUCACAACGGGUUACUAUAGGCGAUGAUGACGUAGUAGAGUUAGGCCCAGAGGAAAACCAGUCAGGGUAGCUAUUUUUACGAAAAACUCCGAAUCUGAUCAAACGAGCCAUUGGCGAUAUUCUCAAGUAUUAUAACCUGUGUCGGCAUUCAGCCAAUUGGCGAAUAUUUUUGAUUUGAAUUUGUAAACAACCGUGUGUGUUCUGGUGUCAACGUUCUUCGUAAAAUUUAUAUUUAUUCUACAAAUGUUAUAAAUGUCAGCAUUAAUUUAAUUCUUAGUGUUAUGAAUAAUUGCAUAUGAGUGCUGUGUACCAAACUGCUGAGGAUUUUACAAAGUUGAUGGUACAAAAGUAUGAAAUUUUGGAUUUCCCAAUACGUAAGAAAUGGCUUGCCGCCAUGCCAAGAGAUUUUGAAGUUGCAAAGAAUUCUAAAGUAUGUGAGAUGCAUUUCAAGGAAAAUGACAUUA